UCUACCAUGAGUUGCCAUCGAAAACUUGUAUUCGUAUACUACAGUCGAUAGAGUUUAAACGUGGAUCGAUGAAGUUUGCAUUAAAAUCAUACCAUGAGUUCAAUUACCGUAUACUUUACUCGCCAGCGAUAAUUCGAUGGUUUUGUGAUGUCAUGUUGGUGAACAUGUUAACGUAUCCAACUUCACACUCUAUGAAUGGAUGAAUGAAAGAACGAAUGCCGCUCCUUUCUAACUAUAUAGAAAAGAUAGAGUAGGAAAUAACAAAAAUGUCAAAAAUAACACUGCAAAAUUUAAGUGUCCUAGAACAGUGUUUAAAGCUGAAUUAACAUGAUGAUUUUAAAUUUGUAUUGUUUAUUUCUUGUCAUUGCGACUUUGACGCAGCUGUUGUCAUGACAACAGAUAACAAAACAUGUUUUGUUGAAGGAUUAUUGAUGAAUAAUUUUCCACAAAAAAAUGGAUUUUAACCACGAUAGGAAAAUGAGAACCUGCGCCUAUCCGUUUAAACCGAUUGUAGAAUUUAUGGAAAGAUAUGGCGAUCUGAGUAUGCCCACUGAAGGGCCCCAAGAAAGAGCCAACAAUAGUCAACGGUGGGUGGAACUAACGGACACGCGAACGUGAAAUGCUGAUGCCACCGGCGACACGAAAACUACUGAGAAAUUGAGAAAAGUGUGGAGUGACUUUAAACAGCAAGAAGAAGGCAACUCGCAUACACAGAGUUGCCAAGGGAACACUGGACUGGUGGCGGUCCAGGUUCUUCCCUGAAGCCAAAGGGAUUAGAGCAGAGUGCUUACCUACUUGUAAAUUAAAUCCAUAAUAAAGACCUAGGGUAACUGGAUGGAUAUACCUACCUUAUUAUUGUAAAACUUAAGAUAUUAUAAUUAAUUAAAUACA